UCGAGAAUCUUCCGCAAUGGACGAAAGUCUGACGGAGCGACGCCGCGUGAUGGAUGAAGUCCCUCUGGGACGUAAACAUCUUUUAUGAGGGAGAAAGUUUAUUGAUAGUACCUCACGAAUAAGGGGUUGCUAAACUCGUGCCAGCAGCAGCGGUAAUACGAGUGCCCCGAGCGUUAUCCGGAAUCAUUGGGCGUAAAGGGUGUGUAGGUGGCAUUGUUAGUCACACGUUAAACCCUGGGGCUUAACCCCAGAUCUGCGUGUGAUACGGCAAAGCUAGAGGAUGGCAGGGAUGUAUGGAACUCAUGGAGUAGGGGUGAAAUCCGUUGAUAUCAUGGGGAACACCGAAAGCGAAGGCAGUACAUUGGGCCACUCCUGACACUGAAACACGAAAGCGUGGGUAGCGAAUGGGAUUAGAUACCCCAGUAGUCCCUGAGCGGGCUGGCAAGGCGCAU
rnacentral:rRNA from 1 species